GCUAGGACUGAGCUAGGACUGAGGGGUUUUUUCCACCCCACAUGCGGUCCUGGCCCCGCCCCGCCCCUGCGGCCAACCCGGGAGACCCCGAGCAGGGUUCCCGUGUGUGGCGUGGCCGCCCUUUCGAGUCGGGACUGUGAGGAACGUGAGGCUUGCUCCGAGCCGAGCAGACUUAGGUCCAGAGACCGAGGAAGCCUAGGUUCUGCAAGGGCUCCAGGUGAGGACCCUGAGGGAGAGCGGGAGGCUUCCCCUGGCACAGGGUGGGGGCCGAUGUCGGCUGUCGGCACCAUUGGUCCUGGAAAGCGGCGGGCACGGGUGUUCCGAUGUGGCCUCUGGGUACUUUUGUCUUGGGAUCCUGGGCAGCCUGAGCCUUUCUUGAGGGUUGCGGAUUUCAGUCAAAUGUGGGAGAAAUCCUGGGCUCUGCGAGGCUUCAAGGUGAGGACCCUGAGGGCGGAGGUCGAGAGGCCCUUCCACAGAGGUAGGGGCUGUUGCUCGCCCAAACAUCAACCCAGGAAACCCCCAAUUGAGGGGUGAGAUACAGCAUUUCGUGACUUAAGUUGGGCGGCAGAGGGGUUUGAGACUGAAGGGCCCCGUCUCAGCUCAGUGGAGGGACGGCCCAGCCUCAUGCAUCCCCAGGCGCGAGGUGACUAUCCCGAAGGGGUGGAGGCUGUCUUCACUGCAAAUAGAGAUGUGCGCGGGGUGGGGGGCGGCAAGCUGGCAAGCCCUGCCAUGCACUUCUCUUACCGCCCAGAAACCGUGGGCACGAGUCCUGACUUCCAUUUUGGGAGUCUGAGGGACGGGAGACUUACUAGUUAGGGCUGGACUCGGGUCAGCAGAAGGACAAGUUCCAGGUCUCGCCCGCACGAGGUGAAGACCUCGAGGGAGGAGGCCCCUCACCGCGCAGUGGAUGUGCUGCCCCCACUCCGCCCAUUUUUUAAACCCCUGGAGGCCCCACUUAGGGCCCCGGAUGUGUUUUAUCCAGACCCCCAUCUUGGGAGUCUGAGAGAUGUGAGGCUUUUUCUGACCAAAGCCGAUUCAGAUUGCCAGAGGGAGGAGUCCCAGGUCCUGGCAGGCGCUAAAGUGAGGACUCUGAGGAAGGACUGAGGGGAGCUCUGACUGCAGAGCGGUACCCCAGCGCUCCUCCCCUGUCCCUGUUUUCUGCCUGGGAGGCUCCAUGCAGGGCCCUGGGUGUGGUGUAUCUGGACGUCCAUCUUUCGAGCCUGAGGGAAUGGGCUUUUUCUGAGAGGUGCAGACUCAGGUCAGUAGAGGGAGGAGUUGUAGGCCCUGCCACGCAUCAAGGUGAGGACUCUGAGGGCAAAGUGCAGGGACCUCCCAGUCCAGACAGUGAGGGUCCCAUGAGAGCCUGCCCUAAAAAAAAAAAAAAAAAAAAAAAAAAAAAAAGAGAGAGAAAGAAAGAAAGAAAGAAAGAAAGAAAGAAAGAAAGAAAGAAAGAAAGA
rnacentral:lncRNA from 12 species